CUUAAAGGAAUUGACGGAAGGGCACCACCAGGAGUGGAGCCUGCGGCUUAAUUUGACUCAACACGGGGAAACUCACCCGGCCCGGACACCGUAAGGAUUGACAGAUUGAGAGCUCUUUCUUGAUUCGGUGGGUGGUGGUGCAUGGCCGUUCUUAGUUGGUGGAGCGAUUUGUCUGGUUAAUUCCGAUAACGAACGAGACUCCGGCCUGCUAAAUAGUCCGCCCCCCCGCCAAUGGGAGGGGUGACCCGCACUUCUUAGAGGGACCAGCGGCGUUACAGCCGCACGAGACGGGGCGAUAACAGGUCUGUGAUGCCCUUAGAUGUUCGGGGCCGCACGCGCGCUACACUGAAAGAGGCAGAGGGUCCGACACCCUGGUCUGGCGAGGCUGGGCAACCCGUUACCAAACUCUAUCGUGCUAGGGACUGGGGCUUGCAAUUCUUCCCCACGAACGAGGAAUUCCCAGUAAGCGCGAGUCAUCAGCUCGUGUUGAUUACGUCCCUGCCCUUUGUACACACCGCCCGUCGCUACUACCGAUUGAAUGGUUUAGUGAGGCCUUCGGACGGGCCCCGGGCUGGCCGGGCGACCGGCCGGCUGUCUUGGUGUUGCCUGAAAGACGGUCGAACUUGAUCAUUUAGAGGAAGUAAAAGUCGUAACAAG
rnacentral:rRNA from 1 species